UGCGGUGUGUGGUAAAUGUCACCUCUCCUCAGACACCUGAUGAUACAAGGCGCAGGGCACACAGCACACCAUGAUGUGGACUACUAGCAGGACUAUCCUUCCAGGACUCUUACUAGUCACUAUCAUUACAGAUGUGCAGUCAGAUUUUCAGGUGUCACAGGAUCCAGAACUUCACAUUACAGAAGACCAAGAUGUCUCCCUGAAAUGUACUCACACAAUAACAACUUACCAGAUUCUGGUCUGGUACAAGCAACUCCCUGGACUCGGACUGGACAUCUGUGCUUAUGGUAUAGAUACACCUACUAACCUGCACUCCAGAUACUCUAUGACCAUGGAGAGAAGCUCUCUAAGUACUCAGCUUCAUAUAAAGAAUGUGAGGGGGGAGGACACAGCCGUGUAUUACUGUGCAGUGAGAGACACAGUGACACCGACAUACUGCAGCUCUGUACAAGAAGCAACAACCCUUCACACAGCGUGCACACAUAAAAAGUAUAACCUAUAA